rnacentral:ncRNA from 1 species
UGUCUCCUCCACCCUCCUCUAUUGGUGGAUUCGGCCCGAGGCCUCACGGCCCCGGGCCUUUUUCU